rnacentral:rRNA from 1 species
CCCCUAGAUGUUCUGGGCCGCACGCGCGCUACACUGGUCGAUGCAACGAGUUUCUUUCCUUGGCCGACAGGCCUGGGCAAUCUUUGAACAUCGAUCGUGAUCGGGAUAGAUUCUUGUAAUUUUUGAUCUUAAACGAGGAAUUCCUAGUAAACGCAAGUCAUCAGCUUGCAUUGAUUACGUCCCUGCCCUUUGUACACACCGCCCGUCGCACCUACCGAUUGAAUGGUCCGGUGAAAUCUCCGGACUGGCGUGAGUCGGAGCAAUCUGACAAACACCGGAAAGUUGAUUAAACCUUACCAUUUAGAGGAAGGUGAANUCGUAACA